CAUAGGCAUUGUUUGUUCAUUCACCUUUGUAGGGAUUGUUUGUUCAUUCACCUAAGAGAACAUGGAUACCAUCGCCAUCCGUCUGCAUUUUUUCAUUGCAAUUCUAUGCGUGGCUUCUGUUUUAACUCUAGGAGAAGCAAUCGAUCCAAUACAAUUGACGAGGUAUUGUGUUGGCAGAGCGUCAUGUCCACAUAUCAAUGAAGAAUGUAUGAAUUUUUGUGUAGCUAUUGGAUAUCCAAAGGGUCAAGGCAAGUGUGAAGCCCAACUUUGUUGUUGUGAUUGAUACUUGUCCCUUUUCAACAACAAAAAAAAUGUAAACACACCGUCUUUAUGACUGGUGGGAUAAUAAAUUCAUUGCUUUCAAUAUUAAAUAA